rnacentral:rRNA from 1 species
AGAGUUUGAUCCUGGCUCAGAUUGAACGCUGGCGGCAUGCCUUACACAUGCAAGUCGAACGGCAGCAUAGGAGCUUGCUCCUGAUGGCGAGUGGCGAACGGGUGAGUAAUAUAUCGGAACGUGCCCUAGAGUGGGGGAUAACUAGUCGAAAGACUAGCUAAUACCGCAUACGAUCUACGGAUGAAAGUGGGGGAUCGCGAGACCUCAUGCUCCUGGAGCGGCCGAUAUCUGAUUAGCUAGUUGGUGGGGUAAAAGCCUACCAAGGCAACGAUCAGUAGCUGGUCUGAGAGGACGACCAGCCACACUGGGACUGAGACACGGCCCAGACUCCUACGGGAGGCAGCAGUGGGGAAUUUUGGACAAUGGGGGCAACCCUGAUCCAGCAAUGCCGCGUGAGUGAAGAAGGCCUUCGGGUUGUAAAGCUCUUUUGUCAGGGAAGAAACGGUGGUAGCGAAUAACUACUACUAAUGACGGUACCUGAAGAAUAAGCACCGGCUAACUACGUGCCAGCAGCCGCGGUAAU